rnacentral:tRNA from 1 species
AAGAAUUUAGGAUAAUUAAACCAAGGACCUUCAAAGUCCUAAACAGAAGUUUAAACCUUCUAAUUCUUG